UUAGGUUGUCCUAAGUCAAAUUUCUCUAACUUUGACCAAGUUUAUAUAAAAAUACACAACAUUUACAAUACUAAAUAAAUUACACUAUCAAGACAUUUCAUGGCCGAUUCAAUAAAACUAAUUUGAUGUUGUUGAUGCUUUUUCCUAUAAACUUGGUCAAAGUUAGAGCAGUUUGACUUAGGACAAAGCUAA
rnacentral:pre_miRNA from 1 species